CCUUUUUGAAAUGAAUGAUCGUUUGUAACUUGCUUCUAUGCUCCUGUCUAUCAAGUGCAACAAUUGAGUGGUUCAAGAGACAGGUUAAUUGAGUAUUUCUCCAUCGUGAAUGGUUGGUCAUCAUUCUGAGUAAUUUGUGUUCAGAUUACAUUUCGAAGACUGUGCAUAGGUAAUUCAGAAUUGAGAUGGAUUUAUUUUCCUCAGUCAUCGCAUUGUCAACGGCUAUUCUGUGUUUGAACGAUCGCAGUGCUUUUGCAUUUUAUCCCACUUUUGAUUACACGAUAUACGGCGACGUUGGGAAUGUAUUUCAUUUUAGCGAAAAUAUACACGGAGACAUUGACAGAGAUGUCGAAUGUUUCGUAUCCGUAAUAGAGUUUGAUCCAACCUUUCGCAGAAAUCCAAAUGCAUCAAUUCCCACAGGGAACAGUGGUUUAUAUCACCAAAGUUUCAAUGCUCCACUUUGUUCAUAUGCGGGAAGAGCAAAGUUAUCGCGGGAAAAAGUGAUCUUGUAUGCAAGUCUUAAUCCUAGACCUGAUGUUAAAGGAAAGUUUAAUACUAUAUUUGGUCUUCGUCUGGCUUCGGAAGCAGUGUUUUUUGGUCAACUCAGUUGAGAGACCCUGAAGAGCUGAAACCCGUGCGAAUGCGAGCCCCCUCGAGGGAUUUUUUUCAAAAAUGUAGGUUGGCAACGUGUAAUGGAAAUGAUUUCAUUGUGGUAUGCAGAACGGUCGACCCAUCACUUUGAGAAGAAAUGCUUUGAGGGGGCUCGCAUUCAAAUGGAGACCCAGCUGCUGGUGAAUUGAGGAAUUCCCGGUGGAAUAAUACCGUUUAUAGCGUCUUGAAUCCCCAUUGGGAUGUCUUCAAGCUUUUUCUGUGUUUAAAAAAGUAAAAAGUAAAAAAAUUGAAACUGAUUAUUCAUUCAAAUAAAAGUACAUGUUGCCUUUGUU